CUGCUACAGUGAGCUUACAUAAUCUUGGAAACUGUUAGUUCUGGUUAUAGUUUUUCCCUUGAAAGUUACUCUGGUCUAUCCUCAUUGGGUUUUCCUCAUACAUUUGUGGACUGAUUAUCAACUAAAGGCUCUAGAGGAUCCUCAUGCAGAUUUCUAGAGCUCUCUGUAAUGACCUCUUCUUAAGCAUCGUCCUCAUGAUUACAGAUGUCUCUGUCUUCCCAAAUUUUAGUUUCGUAACUCCCCAAGGGACACUGGGCUCUAUUUUCCCUCUCCUCCCCCACCUUUAUCAUUACCUUAAGCAGGAAAUGUUUUCUCUUUUUUUCAGGUUGUGGUCAUGCACUGUCCUUUGUCUAAUAUCUGAAAAUGGUCACUUUCUAUGCUUUGUCCAAUAUUCCAAUUGUUUCUGGCAGGAGGGAAAUUCUUGAUUAAUGUAUUCUCUUAUGUUUGGAAAUAAAGAUCCCCUAGAUAUUUAUAUUUUUCUAUUAUUCAUAUGACUUGCUAAUUUAAACUUCUUUUAUUCUGUUCCUGGAAACUAUGUUUUAAAAUAAAGUUUAGAACUUUAUCUAUAAUUCUAUGUAUACUCACCUUGCUAUAAUUUUGGACCACACUUCUCAUCUGCCAAGUUCUUUUGAUUUUGUUAUCCAGAUGUUGAUUCUCAUCUUCAUUUCUUAUCUCACCAACUCUAAUAUUCUUCUUCUUUUUUUAAAAUAAUAAUUCAUGUUCUUGCUAAAACAUUGCAGGACAAAUGCAGAGUAGUGAAGAGCGGCGUUCUGGGUAGCUGUGAUGGGGUAAUAAGAUUCCACAGCUGGUCUGACUACAGACUGUCGAGCUGCCAGGCACCCCCAGGCAGCAGGCAGCUGCCAGGCUUGCUCACAACAUUUCCGUAGAUUCCGUUGGCAAGGAGACAGUGAGCCCUCGAGACCUGGAUGGCCUGUGUCCCUGGCACGGUGGGCAGCAUGAGCUUCAAGUGUGCCCCAGCCCUCUUUGCCUCUUUGAUCUCAUUGAGGCUGAUGUGGAAUAGGCCAAGGUGCAGUGCUGCGCCCAGUGGACCAUCAUACCUGGGCAGGACCACCCAGCGGAGGACCCUCCCAACUUGAUGAGGGACUUUGGGUGGAUAUGCCAAUCACCCUCUUCAGAGAUAUUGUUUUUAUUAUUCUAGAUACGAACAAACCUAUUUUAGGGAGAGAAGUGAGGCUUUUUGAGUCUGAAAUGUCUCCUUAUACGACCAUCGCUAAAUUGACUGCAAAGAAACAAAUGCCUUGGCUCAGGAGGCUUAGAGCAUGCGGAAAUGCCAGCUGCAGAGAGAAUUGUCCUCU
rnacentral:lncRNA from 1 species